GUGCUCGCUUCGGCAGCACAUAUACUAAAAUUGGAACGAUACAGAGAAGAUUAGCAUGGCCCCUGCGCAAGGCAAAUAUAUAGCUGUGUUAGUCUGUAGAAUAAGUAU